GGUGAGAUGGCCGAGUGGUUAUGGCGCUGCGUUCAGGUAUCACAAAAACUUGGAUAUAUGAUAAAUAAAAAGAUUAUCGCAGUGGAGCAAUCCGCGUGGGUUCGAGUCCCACUCUCAUCA